rnacentral:misc_RNA from 1 species
UUCCAACUGUACCAGGAAGUGACGGACUAUUGCAGAGUACUGAAGAAGGUGUAAAGCUUGCCGAGGAGAUUGGUUACCCCGUGAUGAUUAAGGCAACAGCUGGUGGUGGUGGACGUGGAAUGCGUCUUGCUAAAGAACCUAAUGAGUUCGUAAAAUUAUUGCAGCAAGCUAAGAGUGAAGCAGCAGCUGCAUUUGGAAAUGAUGGCGUUUAUCUGGAGAAGUACAUCGUAAAUCCCAGGCACAUUGAAUUUCAGGUUUUGGCGGACAAGUAUGGUAAUGUUGUACACUUUGGAGAGCGUGAUUGCAGUAUUCAGAGAAGAAACCAAAAGUUGCUGGAGGAAGCACCAUCCCCGGCAUUGACACCAGAGCUGCGGAAAGCCAUGGGUGAUGCAGCUGUGGCAGCAGCAGCAUCUAUAGGUUACAUUGGUGUUGGAACCAUAGAGUUCCUAUUGGAUGAGAGAGGCUCCUUUUACUUCAUGGAAAUGAACACUCGUAUUCAGGUAGAGCAUCCGGUGACAGAAAUGAUAUCCUCUGUUGAUCUGAUAGAGGAACAGAUCCGUGUCGCUAUGGGAGAAAAGCUCCGAUACAAACAGGAGGAUAUUGUGCUUAGAGGACAUUCAAUUGAAUGCCGUAUAAACGCAGAAGAUGCUUUCAAAAACUUCAGACCCGGCCCAGGGAGAAUCACUUCAUAUUUACCAGCUGGAGGUCCAUUUACGCGUAUGGAUAGCCAUGUUUAUCCUGACUAUGUGGUUCCACCUAGCUACGAUUCCCUGCUAGGAAAGCUCAUCGUAUGGGCUCCAACACGCGAGAGGGCUAUUGAGCGCAUGAAAAGAGCACUUGAUGACACCGUUAUCACUGGAGUUCCUACCACAAUAGAAUAUCAUAAACUCAUCCUUGAUAUCGAGGACUUUAAGAACGGGAAAGUUGAUACUGCUUUCAUUCCAAAGCAUGAGGAAGAGUUAGCUCCGCCUCAGCAAAUUGUUCCAGCAGCAAGCAAGGAGCUGAUCAAUGCCAAUGCUUAAUUAUUCUUCUAUUUUAGUUUUAGUUUUUUCUUCUUUGAUUUUCUUACUUCAUCAAGUGAAUUUAGUUUAAGAACAUUACUCUCAUUGGAACUUGAAGUGAGUGCAUUUUUGGAUAUAACUUUCAUCUCCG